GGAAUUUGAAUCAUUCAAACUAUAUAAUAUACUGUGGAAUAAUUCAGUUGCAGACUCCUCAUAAGAACUCCUGAUGAAACCGUCAGUCACCAGUUCUAAUAUUUCCACUGUUUUCACUACUCAAAGUUCAACUAGCUUUCAGAAAUCUGCAUUAUCAGAAUGAAAGGCGUGUCAGCUGUGGUAAAAAUAGUAAAAAAUGAAGAGCACUUGGCCAGUGAUGACUGGUGCCUAUGCUGUAUUAUUUAAAUGCUGCUUCUAACAUGCAUUGUUAUAAACCUUUACCCAGUAGCCUGCGUCCUGUUUCGCCAAAAUAAUGACUUAUUAGGCACCAUUCUAAGGGAAGAAGUAGAAAUCACACUUGUAAGCGGGGUUGUCUUUUUUUCCCCCAAAGUGGUUUCUGUAUUUCAGUCAUCCCAGUGACCUCAGUGACCUCACAUCUUUCACCACAGGUGUUAGACUGUUAUCACAUGACACCUCCCUAGUCAUCCACACAGAUAGGUUAAUUCAUACUGAAGGUUUUCCAACACUUUUAUGUGCUACAUUCAGACAUGUGGCAGUGGCAUAUUUUUAUAGUGCCGUGCAAAUCGCUGUUUUUUUUAUCUGUGGGAAGUAUCCUAUACUCAUAAAAAGUACAGUUAUAUUACCAGCACAAAAAUGAUGAAUAGAAGGCUACUCAUCAUGAUAAUUAAAUGGUUUACACCAGGUGUAGGCUAAUAAAAAUGAAGUAGAUUAAUGAAUUUAAUCAUGGUCAACGUUUUAACAGUAUCCUUUGUCAUUGUUUGACAAUGUUUGGUAUAAAUUGUCUGUAUAAAGAGCCUCAUCUAUCUGUGUUAGCAGUUAUUUGGAAUGGACCAGUAUCAUUCUGCUUUCUGCACAGUAUCUUGAAAGAUUUUAUUGCAUCUUGUCCCAGACCUCCUCCAGGGCUAUUGCAAUGUUGUUUUCUUGUGCAGGUAAUUAGUAAUUGAUCAUUUUGGAAGAACUGUUUUAUUUAAAUCCUGGAAUCUAGUCAUGAGGGAGCUUUUUCAAGGCCCUGUCUGAACAAAUCAAAUUUGUGUGACACCAAAUAUCUAUGAUUUAUUUUAGUUAAUUUCUUUAUUUUAUCAGUGCAUGACGUAAGGGACUCACUGGACUCCCGGGAAGCACAUGCAGUGUAGUAAAGACUGGUAAAGACUACAUAAUAUAAUAUCCAAAAUAUACAUGCGCAUGCAUGUUUUUGGUAACACAUUAUUUUAGGUUUCACAUACCAAGGGAUAGGUAAGUUGGUAAUGUGUUCCCAACAAAUGGUUAAAAUUUGUUAAAUGGUUAAAAUGGUUAAAUCUUGACUCGAGAGCAUAGUUGCGCAAUUGAGUCACUUGCUUAAUCCUGUUAGUGGUCAUUAGGCUGUGGAAACAUCCAGAAAGAGUGGUUCCUGUGUCACGGUGAACUAAUAGUGAACUAAAAGUGAACUAAUAGUGCUUUUUCUUCCCCAAACGAAGUCUCACGGCCUUCCGAGUCGUGGUGAACAAGAAGCGCACUGACAUUUACAGGGUUUUGACUUUGUCUUUUACAUAUUCACGGUGCAUCCACGUGUCUAGUGUUCUGUUUUUUUAUUGGAGAAUACCCCAGGACAGCCUCACAAGAUUCAAACUCACCUGGAGUGAGCGAGUGAUGCGUGGAGAGAGAGAGUAAGUGAGAGAGAGAGAGAGUGUGUUGUUUGUUACAUCCUGACUAAUUCUGCCAAAACGAGGGCAAUAACUUGACCGAUUUGUGAACUUCCUCUGAAUCAGACGUUCAUUGAAGAGCUCAGCCACAGCAGCACCCAUGUCACAAUGCCUAAUGAAAAAUAAAAGCUGCUAUAUCAGAUCCUCCAAAAUCAGCGCUGCAUCCGAUUCAUUUACACACCCAAUAUGAUGACCAGGUUUACUCCACCACAGAUAAGAU